UCCAUUGGAUAGUGGUUGUGCUUGGUAUUGCAGUCAGUCCCAUUUAUUUGAAUGGGACUGAGCUGUGCCGAGGCAAUGUGACCGAUUAAGGUGGCGUCACUGGCCUAGGAAGAUGCAAUUAAACAGCUGAGGAG